GUCUACCCCAAGCAUAUGACCCAAACCUGACCCAAAAAUGGCACCGGGUAAAAACAAGAAACCUGAGCCUAAAAAAACAUGCUACAGGUCAGGAUUGGGUUGAAUCUUGAACACCACUAUAUGUUAAUGACUCAGUAAGGACAAUAAAGAAGUUGAAUUGGUGUUCUAUAUAACACAAAUGUAAAAUGCAAACAAAAAAAUGUUUACACAAACUAAACAACAAGCCCAUAUAACAAAGUACAUGUACAUCUAGACAAUAUAGAAGAUAGAUGUUGCAAAUAAAUAGCUAAAACACAGCACAUCGGAGACAACUCAGUAAAUCAAAACUAUGAAAUUACCUUCCAACCAUAUAAUCCACUGUUGGCAAAAUAAUCCGCGCAUUCACAGAGUCAAAUACCCACUGUGGUUGAACA